GAGGUGAAUGGGUGCAGGGAGGGGAGCGCGCGCGCAACGGUCGGACGGGGUUGGGAAAUAGAAAAAAACCCCGAGCACGGUGAAAACUUACCGGCUCAGGGUUAAGGAAGCCAGUCAAAUGACAGGCAGAAACGUCCCGUUAAGCUAUGAGGGAACUAGCCGAAAUGGGAGGCAAGAAAGGGGGGAACAAAGUUCAAUAACCCUCAAAAGUUUAACCAGCAAUAGCAAGAACACAUAAUAUUAAAGCAAUUUAAAG